rnacentral:lncRNA from 1 species
AAAAGAUUGAGGGGAUCUCGGAGGAAGUGGUGCUGUACGCCCUAACGAACAGCCUCCGGCCCACGUUUUUCGCGGGUGACUUAGUGAGGAAGCCACCGAAAACCUUCGCCGAGGCCAUGGAGAGGUCCCACGGAGAGAGCAAUGUGGAGGAUUACCUGGGCGCGAAGAUCCAGGAAUACAGGCGGCAGCAGAGGGGGAAGGGCGCCCCCGCAG